UAAAUUAAAUUCAGAGGAGUACAGAGCGAGAAUGCGCGGAUUGCUCAUUCCACUACUCCAAUACACGGGCUAUCUGUAGUUGGCAGGAGGGGCCCCUCCAUCCCUACUCUUUCUCUCCGAUCACCCCGUCCACGUAGCCCACGAGGAGCCCGUUACUGUGCUGCGCAUUGUUAUCUCUCGGUUAUCUUUGUCUCAGUGCACAACAAAGUUCGUAUCAAAUCAACCCAACUUUCUUAAGAAAUGAAUUAGAACACGAUUACACCGUUUUAUUCUGUCUUUUUUGUGGGUAAAUAAUACUCUUUUACCCAAUUGUUAUUGAUUCUAAACACUACAAUGCUAAACUUGGAAGAAUUAUUUAAGGAGUUGUUGGAAACGUCCAAGUGCCCAGUCUGCUUCGAAAGAUGUUUUUCACCUGUUACUUGCUGUAUUAAUGGCCACACUAUCUGUGAUAAUUGCAAGUUGACACAGCAACAAUGUCCAGUUUGUCGAUGUAGUUUUUCUUCUGAGAAACACACAAGUUUGAAUCAAAUCCUUGAAAUACUUCCUUCUGAAUGUAAGUAUGAAGGAUGUCCACAGAUAGAGAGAAAUAUCAAAGAUCAUGAGAAGUGGUGUGGAUACAGACCUACCGAAUGUAGACUGUGCAUGUGGACUGGACAAGUAAAUUAUUUGUCUAUGCACAUACAAUCACUUCACUGUUUUGCAAGUGCUGAUACAAAUCGUACAAUUCCAGAGUUUAGAAUUGAUACUUCAUUUUCCUCCAAACUCCCACAUAUUUUAUUUGGUCAAGUGUUUUGGAAAAUAAUUCAAUAUGAUCAUGUUGAACAAAGGUUCAGCAUGAGAUUUGUGUGUAUCCCUAAUAAAGACGCUAAAAUAAAGAAAGAGUUUCUUAUAAGAGUAGAGUUUAACUCUGAAGACAUCUGCUAUCAUGCCAGUUUAAAAGUUUAUUACAAUCCAGAAUAUGAUGAAACUUCUAAAAAGAAUCAGCUUCUCUUUGAUGGAAACAUUUUUGAACAUUUUGUAAAUGAUGGUUUAGAAUAUAAACUUAUAGUAAAACAGUAAUAUUGGUAGUAAAAUCAAAUGAAUAUUCUACAGCAAGUUACGUGUGAUAAUACAAUUAAUUUGAUUGGGAUCUAUUGAUAACUGUAAUUUUAAAUAUUAAGAAGUUUGUAUAUGACCAUUUGCAGUGGUUUAACUAGGACGUUCACUGCGGCAAAAGGCCCCCAUGAUGUAUCCGAUAUGCAGCAAAAUUUAAACUCAUGAUUUUGUUUGUUUGGGCUUAUGUUCAUUCAUUAUGAUUUAUAAUCAUCAUAUAUUGUAUUAUGUGGUUAAAUGUAAGUAAUGGCCGGGGCUGUCCAGACAGUGGCCCCCGACUUUUGGCAUAGGCAUUUUUUAAGAAAAUACUUGCACAUUUCCUAUAAAUUAAAUGAGACGUUUUUAUUCUCUCUUCACAAUAAAUUAA